GGGUUAGGGCAGAUCAAGGAGUAGAAAACCUGGACAUUGCACAUUUCAUGUUUGCCACAAGAGGAACAGGGAGAGCGAGUUUCAUAUCUGAAAAGAGUGUCCACAAUCAGAGAGUAGAACGACUUUGGCGUGAUGUCUGCAGUCACUAGCAAGUACCAUGAUAUUCUUCACUCACUCAAGGAGGAUGGCCUGCUUGACAUUUUGGAUGUCAUUCAUCUCUUUGGUGUCCACUACAUCUUUGUCCCUUGAGUCUGAGCAGAUCUUGUCAUCUUUGUUGGAGGAUGGAAUAAUCAUCCCCUCAGGACAGAAGGAGGUCUCACUCCUGAACAGCUCUGGCGUAUGGGACAUCUACAAGAGCUGGACGAGGGUGAGAGACUUGAGGAGCUUCAGGAUCCAGGCAUCGACUGGGAGAGCGCUGUACUGCAAGAGGAAUCUAACAGCACAGUUGUGGUUCCUGAGGUUGAAUGCCCACUGGAUGAGGAAACCCUGGAGAGACUUCAGAGAACAAUUAAUCCUUUGGAACAUUCUGAGUCACACGGUCAUGACCUGUACAUACAAUUCUUGCAACACGUGUUUAACCAACAGUGACACUUAACAUGGACUUGAAAGUCAACACUCUUAAAAGUUCUCAAAUACUGGAUUUCUUUGCUAAAACAUUCAGAUUACAAGUAGACAAGCAAACAAAGCGCUUGCUUAUUAUCUAUCAACGUAGGACCCUAAACAAAGUUUUACCGAAAAAUGUAGAUCUAAGGACAAGAUGAGAACACUGAAAGUGUACAGAAAGUACUGCUAAAAUCCUCCCAAUUCUUUCAUCUUUGGGCUGAAGGAAGGACAACACUCGGUGUAUAAAUGCUCAGUCAACACUCUCUUUAUUCCAUACCAUUCUCAUUAUUCCAUACACACUUUAGCGCAAUACAUCCGGAUGGGAGAUGUGCCGAAGAGGGUCACAGCAGAUCUUGACGUGUCUGACCAUUUCUCACAUUCUUAUAGCUUCAGCCCCCCUCCAAAGUUAUAAAACCUAAACAUCCACAAUCUUUCUCUCUCUCAGUGAGCCUAUGUUAUGACCUUGGCUUCCUGUGCAGUAUGUUCUGUUCUUUUCUAAUCAGACAAAUA